rnacentral:rRNA from 1 species
UACGUAGGGCGCAAGCGUUGUCCGGAAUUAUUGGGCGUAAAGAGCUCGUAGGCGGUUUGUCGCGUCUGCUGUGAAAACUCGAGGCUCAACCUCGGGCUUGCAGUGGGUACGGGCAGACUAGAGUGCGGUAGGGGUGACUGGAAUUCCUGGUGUAGCGGUGGAAUGCGCAGAUAUCAGGAGGAACACCGGUGGCGAAGGCGGGUCUCUGGGCCGAUACUGACGCUGAGGAGCGAAAGCGUGGGGAGCAAACAGG